GACGAACGCUGGCGGCGUGCUUAACACAUGCAAGUCGAACGGAAAGGCCCUGCUUUUGUGGGGUGCUCGAGUGGCGAACGGGUGAGUAACACGUGAGUAACCUGCCCUUGACUUUGGGAUAACUUCAGGAAACUGGGGCUAAUACCGGAUAGGAGCUCCUGCUGCAUGGUGGGGGUUGGAAAUUUUCGGCGGUUGGGGAUGGACUCGCGGCUUAUCAGCUUGUUGGUGGGGUAGUGGCUUACCAAGGCUUUGACGGGUAGCCGGCCUGAGAGGGUGACCGGCCACAUUGGGACUGAGAUACGGCCCAGACUCCUACGGGAGGCAGCAGUGGGGAAUAUUGCACAAUGGGCGGAAGCCUGAUGCAGCAACGCCGCGUGCGGGAUGAAGGCCUUCGGGUUGUAAACCGAUUUCGCCUGUGACGAAGCGUGAGUGACGGUAAUGGGUAAAGAAGCACCGGCUAACUACGUG
rnacentral:rRNA from 1 species